GACGAACGCUGGCGGCGUGCCUAAUACAUGCAAGUCGAGCGGACCAAAGGGAGCUUGCUCCUGGAGGUCAGCGGCGAACGGGUGAGUAACACGUGGGCAACCUGCCUGUAAGACUGGGAUAACAUCGAGAAAUCGGUGCUAAUACCGGAUAAUAAAAAGAACUGCAUGGUUCUUUUUUGAAAGAUGGUUUCGGCUAUCACUUACAGAUGGGCCCGCGGCGCAUUAGCUAGUUGGUGAGGUAACGGCUCACCAAGGCAACGAUGCGUAGCCGACCUGAGAGGGUGAUCGGCCACACUGGGACUGAGACACGGCCCAGACUCCUACGGGAGGCAGCAGUAGGGAAUCUUCCGCAAUGGACGAAAGUCUGACGGAGCAACGCCGCGUGAGUGAUGAAGUUUUCGGAUCGUAAAAACUCUGUUGUUAGGGAAGAACAAGUGCCGUUCGAAAGGGCGGCACCUUGACGGUACCUAACGAGAAAGACCACGGCUAACUACGUAGCCAGCAGCCGCGGUAAAG
rnacentral:rRNA from 1 species